rnacentral:rRNA from 1 species
CACGUAGGGCGCAAGCGUUGUCCGGAAUUAUUGGGCGUAAAGCGCGCGUAGGCGGCUCGAUCAGUCUGCUGUGAAAGUCAAAGGCUCAACCUUUGAAUGCCGGUGGAUACUGUCGAGCUAGAGUCCGGAAGAGGCGAGUGGAAUUCCUGGUGUAGCGGUGGAAUGCGCAGAUAUCAGGAGGAACACCAACGGCGAAGGCAGCUCGCUGGGACGGUACUGACGCUAAGGCGCGAAAGCGUGGGGAGCGAACAGG